rnacentral:rRNA from 1 species
CCUACGGGUGGCUGCAGUGGGGAAUAUUGCACAAUGGGCGCAAGCCUGAUGCAGCCAUGCCGCGUGUGUGAAGAAGGCCUUCGGGUUGUAAAGCACUUUCAGCGGGGAGGAAGGCGUUAAGGUUAAUAACCUUGGCGAUUGACGUUACCCGCAGAAGAAGCACCGGCUAACUCCGUGCCAGCAGCCGCGGUAAUACGGAGGGUGCAAGCGUUAAUCGGAAUUACUGGGCGUAAAGCGCACGCAGGCGGUCUGUCAAGUCGGAUGUGAAAUCCCCGGGCUCAACCUGGGAACUGCAUUCGAAACUGGCAGGCUAGAGUCUUGUAGAGGGGGGUAAAAUUCCAGGUGUAGCGGUGAGAUGCGUAGAGAUCUGGAGGAAUACCGGUGGCGAAGGCGGCCCCCUGGACAAAGACUGACGCUCAGGUGCGAAAGCGUGGGGAGCAAACAGGAUUAGAUACCCCGGUAGUC